AUCAUGUUAAGUCUCUUCCAAAGCUUCAAGAAAGAGGCCCUAUGAGGGUUCAAAGUCAGCCAGUCUGCUGGGUUUUUAAUAGAUACUCCAGAACAUUGUAUGAAGGCAUCAGAUCUCCUCAUAGUUUUCCAAAGCACCUUCCAGAUACUACUGCGUUCCCUGGUUGUUGGGGAUUUCUGUAGCAUCAGAUAAGUAGGCUGUAAAUGCCACCCAGCAGAUUUUAGACUGGGCUAGCAGGAAGUCAAGUGUCCUCCAGUACCCACCAGGGCAAACAUCAGAACCCACAAGGGACGCACACGAAUCCAAACUCCCUCCCGUUCCUGUUUCCCUCACGGAGUACCCAUCACAUCACCCUGAGGUGUUCGAGUUGCCUGACAACCAUUCCAGAGCAAAAAGUGAGCUCCCAUCUUCCAUGAGGCCCAGGAUCUUCCUCUUACAAAGAAUGGGGUAGGGGAAACUUGCCAGCUAAUUCCUAAAAAAUGCCAGACUAGUUAGUGCAAACACAGUGUCAGGAACCAAACCUGAUCCUCACCACAUGGUAGCUGUGCUUAAAUUAACUGUGGGGUGCUGCAGAGUCCAUCCCAUGCUAGCUGUGAUUGCUCUCCUUCAGCAGAAAUCAGAAACCAGCACGAAGAGAGCACAGUUCCAACAGAAGAGUUCCCGUCGCUCCUUAGAUGCCAGCGCACACAGUGUGGACACAUCCCAAGGGAGCUGGCUGUUUUUUGUAGUGUCAAUGGGAUGGUUUCCUCUCUAUAGGUUCACAAUCUGAGCAUCAAAUGAGACAUAAAAGUUCAUUUAUUUCAAAUUCCUGGCCCAAGUGGCCAGAGACGCAAAAUACCUUGUCUAAUGCAGCUUCACCUCAUUGACCCAGUAUCUGUUCCCCAGUUUUAUCUUGUGACACGGGGCCUCCAUAUGGACAUAGCUCUUGUGGGACAGUUCCAUCGUCAUCCUCCUCCAUAGACCACCAAGGCUGCCUGCUGAGCUGCUGCUGUAGCAAACACCCGUGGCCUCUGUUUAAAUACCGAUGGGUCUUAUGUUUUACUUGCGUUUCAGUGGAUAAAUGGUUGAGCAGCUGGGGCCAGUGAGGACGCAUGCCAGUGUGCAGUGUGUUGACUUUGCAUCAUCGUUUGUGUCUGAGUCUUAGUCUGGUCUGGAUGCUUUGGUGAGUGCUCUAGAAUGCCAGAGCUUUCCAAAAGUAUAGCCAUUCAGCCACAUCAGGUCUAAAGAUCCGUAGACAUACAAGAGAAUGAGCCUCAGUGUCAGAGAACCACAAAAACCUCUCUGACCUCUUCAGGAAUCUAAGCAACUGAGACAAAAAACAAAAUGCCCAAUUGGUGCCCAGGCCAUGUGACUACAGUGGACUGUCAGCCCCAUCAUUUUCCUGUCACAGACACACAGAGAGCAUGGAGAGAAAUACAAUUUUCUGAGUUGGUUUCUCUGCUUGCUACUUGGAGAUGAAUUCAGGCUGAGGGAUCAGGGCUGCCCUCAGCC
rnacentral:lncRNA from 1 species